GAUGAAGAACGUAGCGAAAUGCGAUAAGUAAUGUGAAUUGCAGAAUUCAGUGAAUCAUCGAAUCUUUGAACGCACCUUGCGCCCUUUGGCCAUUCCGAAGGGCAUGCCUGUUUGAGUAUCAUGAACACCUCAACUCUUUAUGGUUUUCCAUGAUGAGCUUGGACUCUGGGGGUUUUGCUGGCUCACAGUCGGCUCCUCUAAAAUGAAUCAGCUUACCAGUGUUUGGUGGGUAUCAUGGGUGUGAUAACUAUCUACGCUUGUGGUUUUUCCACCAGGUAACCUUCAGCAGUGGAGGUUCGCUGGAGCUCAUAGAUGUCUCUCCUCGGUGAGGACAGCCCUUUGAACGGUUGAUCUCAAAUCAGGUAGGACUACCCGCUGAACUUAAGCAUAUCAAUAAGCGGAGGA
rnacentral:misc_RNA from 1 species